UACGGGGGGGGCAAGCGUUAUUCGGAAUUAUUGGGCGUAAAGGGCGCGUAGGCGGCUUGGCAAGUGGAUGGUGAAAUCCCUCGGCUUAACCGAGGAACUGCCGUCCAAACUGCUUAGCUUGAGACCGGGAGAGGUGAGUGGAAUUCCCAGUGUAGCGGUGAAAUGCGUAGAUAUUGGGAGGAACACCAGUGGCGAAGGCGGCUCACUGGACCGGUACUGACGCUGAGGUGCGAAAGCGUGGGGAGCAAACAGG
rnacentral:rRNA from 1 species